rnacentral:rRNA from 1 species
CCUACGGGAGGCAGCAGUGGGGAAUAUUGCGCAAUGGACGAAAGUCUGACGCAGCGACGCCGCGUGGAGGAUGAAGGUUUUCGGAUCGUAAACUCCUGUCAAGAGGGAAGAAACCUAUUAAGAAUAAUACUCCUAGUAAUUGACGGUACCUCUAGAGGAAGCACCGGCUAACUCCGUGCCAGCAGCCGCGGUAAU